rnacentral:rRNA from 1 species
AACGAACGCUGGCGGCGUGCUUAACACAUGCAAGUCGAACGCGAAAGGGGCUUCGGUCCUGAGUAGAGUGGCGCACGGGUGAGUAACGCGUAGAUAACCUGUCCUGGUGUCUGGAAUAAUAUCUCGAAAGGGGUGCUAAUACCGGAUAUUCUUGCUUUCUAUAAGGUAUGCAAGGAAAGGUGGCCUCUGGAACAAGCCACUGCACGAGGAGGGGUCUGCGUACCAUUAGCUAGUAGGUGGGGUAAUGGCCUUCCUAGGCGACGAUGGUUAGCGGGUCUGAGAGGAUGAUCCGCCACACUGGUACUGAAACACGGACCAGACUCCUACGGGAGGCAGCAGUGAGGAAUAUUGCGCAAUGGGGGCAACCCUGACGCAGCGACGCCGCGUGAGUGAGGAAGGCCUUCGGGUCGUAAAGCUCUGUCAAAGGGGAAGAAGUGCAUGGUGGUUAAUAUCUGUCAUGUUUGACGGUACCCUUAAAGGAAGCACCGGCUAACUCCGUGCCAGCCGCCGCAGUAA